rnacentral:rRNA from 1 species
UACGUAGGGGGCCAGCGUUGUCCGAAGUUACUGGGCGUAAAGAGCGCGUAGGCGGGUUUUUAAGUGAGUGGUGAAAGGUUCGGGCUCAACCCGGACACUGCCUUUCAUACUGGAGACCUUGAGUGUAGGAGAGGCGAGUGGAAUGGUCGGUGUAGCGGUGGAAUGCGUAGAUAUCGAUCGGAACACCCAUGGCGAAGGCAGCUCGCUGGCCUAUAACUGACGCUGAGGCGCGAAAGCGUGGGGAGCAAACAG